UCCGUAGGUGAACCUGCGGAGGGAUCAUUACAGAGUUCAUGCCCUCCGGGUAGAUCUCCCACCCAUUGCUAUAACUACUCUCGUUGCUUUGGCGGGCCGCCGGCCCCGGCUGGCGCGUGCCCGCCAGAGACCUCACAGACCCUGAAUGUUAGUGUCGUCCGAGUAACUAUACAAUCGUUAAAACUUUCAACAACGGAUCUCUUGGUUCUGGCAUCGAUGAAGAACGCAGCGAAAUGCGAUAAGUAAUGCGAAUUGCAGAAUUCAGUGAGUCAUCGAAUCUUUGAACGCACAUUGCGCCCUGUGGUAUUCCGCAGGGCAUGCCUGUUCGAGCGUCAUUUCAACCCUCAAGCCUCACUUGGUGUUGGGCCCUGCCCGCCGCGGCCGGCCCUAAAGAUAGUGGCGGCGCCGCCUGGCCCUCAGCGUAGUACAGCUCUCGCUCCAGGGUCCGGCGGCAGCCUGCCAGAACCCCCCAACUCUGUGGUUGACCUCGGAUCAGGUAGGGAUACCCGCUGAACUUAAGCAUAUC
rnacentral:rRNA from 1 species